CCUACGGGAGGCAGCAGUAGGGAAUCUUCCGCAAUGGACGAAAGUCUGACGGAGCAACGCCGCGUGAGCGAUGAAGGCCUUCGGGUCGUAAAGCUCUGUUGUUAGGGAAGAACAAGUACCGUUCGAAUAGGGCGGUACCUUGACGGUACCUAACCAGAAAGCCACGGCUAACUACGUGCCAGCAGCCGCGGUAAU
rnacentral:rRNA from 1 species